rnacentral:sRNA from 1 species
AUUUUUCUUAACUUUCUCGUCGCCAGCCUAAAAAUUGAUCCAAAUGUUUUUGGUGCGCAUUGGAAUUUUCCGAUAGUCCAUUGGAAAGUCGUUCUUAGAUAUUUCGAGAUGUUUAGCAAAAAUAUAAGAAUAAAACCAAAAAUCACAAAUCACAGAUAACUUCAUUUUUAACUUAACUUUAAGGCCAGAAGGUCGCACUUGAAGGUCGUGUCUGACUGGUUGCUUCCUGUAUCCAGAUCAAGCGUUUUUAUGUCUUUUCCCAUGGCAACUCAAGGUUAUGAUAGUCAACAACCACCGGCAUACCCACCAGCGCCCUUGGCGUACCCUCCAGCGCCGAACUACUACCCGCACGGUCCACCCAACUUACAGAGAACGCCGUACAUGGUACAGCAGCACCCCCCCGGCCAACCCCUGCCCCCAGGAACCUACCAGUACAUCCCUCCGAACCAGUAUCCCUACGGCCCGCCUCCGAAUCAGUACAGCCAGCAAGGGUCUUACUAUUCGAAUCAGUAUGGCCAGCCGGCACCCCAGUAUUACGCACCGGCGCCUACGGGCUACGGAGGCGCCCCCUAUCGGAACAGACAGGACGACACGAUGAAGAACAUCGGCAUUGGGGCCAUGCUGGCCUCCUUGCUCUGCUGCUGCUGCUUUGCAGACGACGUUCUGGAAAACGCGAUUGACUGCGACCAUUAGAUUCUAGAUCAGCGGCCAUUUUACUUUUGGUUUCACAUGUACAGAAAGUGUAUAACAACAAUUAAAAGCAAGGAUCUCGAAAUCUCUCGUUGAAACUUUCCUAUAGAUCUGGUGUAUUAGAUAUGGAAUAUAUUUUGUCCCAUGAAAGACACAAAUCCACAUAGAUCUCACUUU